CGGCGCACAUAAGACAUGCAAGUCGAACGAAAGUACGUUAUACUGAAUUUGAAAUGAACUGUGAACUGUUCAGAGGGACUAGAUGAUGAUUAUAACAAUGGCUUUAGUGGCGGACUGGUGAGUAACGCGUAGGUAACCUGCCUAACAGAGGGGAAUAACAGUGAGAAAUCAUUGCUAAUACCGCAUAUGCUCACAGUACCACAUGGUACAGUGAGGAAAGGAGUAAUCCGCUGAUAGAUGGGCCUGCGUCUGAUUAGCUAGUUGGUUAGGUAAAAGCCUGACCAAGGCAACGAUCAGUAGCCGGACUGAGAGGUUAAACGGCCACAUUGGGACUGAGAUACGGCCCAGACUCCUACGGGAGGCAGCAGUCGGGAAUAUUGCGCAAUGGAGGAAAAACCUCUGACGCAGUGACGCCGCGUAUAGGAAGAAGGUUUUCGGAUUGUAAACUAUUGUCGUUAGGGAAGAUAAAAGACAGUACCUAAGGAGGAAGCCCCGGCUAACUAUGUGCCAGCCGCAGC
rnacentral:rRNA from 1 species